rnacentral:rRNA from 1 species
GCUCGUCCGCUCAGGGUUAGUCGGGACCUAAGCCGAGGCUGAUAGGCGUAGGCGAUGGACGACAGGUAGAGAUUCCUGUACCAGUGCUAAUUGUUUAACCGAUGGGGUGACACAGAAGGAUAGGGAAGCGCACGAAUGGAAAUGUGCGUCCAAGCAGUGAGUGUGAGAAGUAGGCAAAUCCGCUUCUCGCGAAGCAUGAGCUGUGAUGGGGAAGGAAAUUAAGUACGGAAGUUCCUGAUUUCACGCUGUCAAGAA